rnacentral:rRNA from 1 species
CCUACGGGAGGCAGCAGUGGGGAAUUUUGGACAAUGGGCGCAAGCCUGAUCCAGCAAUGCCGCAUGCAGGAUGAAGGCCUUCGGGUUGUAAACUGCUUUUGUACGGAACGAAACGGUUCGCUUUAAUACAGUGAGCUAAUGACGGUACCGUAAGAAUAAGCACCGGCUAACUACGUGCCAGCAGCCGCGGUAAUACGUAGGGUGCGAGCGUUAAUCGGAAUUACUGGGCGUAAAGCGUGCGCAGGCGGUGAUGUAAGACAGAUGUGAAAUCCCCGGGCUCAACCUGGGACCUGCAUUUGUGACUGCAUCGCUAGAGUACGGUAGAGGGGGAUGGAAUUCCGCGUGUAGCAGUGAAAUGCGUAGAUAUGCGGAGGAACACCGAUGGCGAAGGCAAUCCCCUGGACCUGUACUGACGCUCAUGCACGAAGACGGUGGGGAGGACGAAACAAGGAGUAGUAUACCUACGGUAGUACCGACCGACCCGUAACCGAACUGUCAACUGGUUGGUUGGGUUCGUUCUACU